rnacentral:rRNA from 1 species
GGUUAAGCGACUAAGCGUACACGGUGGAUGCCCUGGCAGUCAGAGGCGAUGAAGGGCGUGCUAAUCUGCGAUAAGCGCCGGUAAGGUGAUAUGAACCGUUAUAACCGGCGAUACCCGAAUGGGGAAACCCAGUGUGAUUCGUCACACUAUCAUUAACUGAAUCCAUAGGUUAAUGAGGCGAACCGGGGGAACUGAAACAUCUAAGUACCCCGAGGAAAAGAAAUCAACCGAGAUUCCCCCAGUAGCGGCGAGCGAACGGGGAGGAGCCCAGAGCCUGAAUCAGCAUGUGUGUUAGUGGAAGCGUCUGGAAAGGCGCGCGAUACAGGGUGACAGCCCCGUACACAAAAGCGCAUGUGCUGUGAGCUCGAUGAGUAGGGCGGGACACGUGGUAUCCUGUCUGAAUAUGGGGGGACCAUCCUCCAAGGCUAAAUACUCCUGACUGACCGAUAGUGAACCAGUACCGUGAGGGAAAGGCGAAAAGAACCCCGGCGAGGGGAGUGAAAAAGAACCUGAAACCGUGUACGUACAAGCAGUGGGAGCACCCUUUGGGUGUGACUGCGUACCUUUUGUAUAAUGGGUCAGCGACUUAUAUUCUGUAGCAAGGUUAACCGAAUAGGGGAGCCGGAGGGAAACCGAGUCUUAACCGGGCGUUAAGUUGCAGGGUAUAGACCCGAAACCCGGUGAUCUAGCCAUGGGCAGGUU